AGAGUUUGAUCAUGGCUCAGGAUGAACGCUAGCUACAGGCUUAACACAUGCAAGUCGAGGGGCAGCAUGUUGGUUGCUUGCAACCAAUGAUGGCGACCGGCGCACGGGUGAGUAACGCGUAUCCAACCUACCCUUGUCCAUCGGAUAACCCGUCGAAAGGCGGCCUAACACGAUAUGCGGUUCUCAGCAGGUAUCUAACGAGAACGAAAUGUGAAGGAGAAGGAUGGGGAUGCGUCUGAUUAGCUUGUUGGCGGGGUAACGCCACCAAGGCGACGAUCAGUAGGGGUUCUGAGAGGAGGUCCCCANAUUGGAACUGAGACACGGUCCAAACGUCCUACGGGAGCA
rnacentral:rRNA from 1 species